CGUGCAUUCAUUUCCUUUGAGGAAUACCAAGUACUGGAAUUGUUCAAUCAUAUGCAAUCUGAAGGCAAAUCCUAUUUAGACCCAGGCAAAGGUUCCUGGUGACCCAGGCUCUCACCAGCUGAUAGUCCCUUACCGUCCUCCUGAGGGUGUCUGGAGCUUCAGUGCUGUGUGCUCUUGGCCUCCACCCUUGGGGUGCCACCGACUCCCACUGUCCAGGGCUUCCAGUGGACUCUCCGAGGCACUGACGUAGAAACUUCCCCAUUCAGUGCA
rnacentral:lncRNA from 10 species